rnacentral:rRNA from 1 species
UACGUAGGGUGCAAGCGUUAAUCGGAAUUACUGGGCGUAAAGCGUGCGCAGGCGGUUGUGCAAGACAGAUGUGAAAUCCCCGGGCUUAACCUGGGAACUGCAUUUGUGACUGCACAGCUAGAGUGCGGGAGAGGGGGAUGGAAUUCCGCGUGUAGCAGUGAAAUGCGUAGAUAUGCGGAGGAACACCGAUGGCGAAGGCAACCCCCUGGGCCUGCACUGACGCUCAUGCACGAAAGCGUGGGGAGCAAACAGG